rnacentral:rRNA from 1 species
UACACUCCUACGGGAGGCAGCAGUGGGGAAUAUUGGACAAUGGGCGCAAGCCUGAUCCAGCCAUGCCGCGUGAGUGAUGAAGGCCCUAGGGUUGUAAAGCUCUUUCACCGGUGAAGAUAAUGACGGUAACCGGAGAAGAAGCCCCGGCUAACUUCGUGCCAGCAGCCGCGGUAAUACGAAGGGGGCUAGCGUUGUUCGGAUUUACUGGGCGUAAAGCGCACGUAGGCGGACUAUUAAGUCAGGGGUGAAAUCCCGGGGCUCAACCCCGGAACUGCCUUUGAUACUGGUAGUCUUGAGUUCGAGAGAGGUGAGUGGAAUUCCGAGUGUAGAGGUGAAAUUCGUAGAUAUUCGGAGGAACACCAGUGGCGAAGGCGGCUCACUGGCUCGAUACUGACGCUGAGGUGCGAAAGCGUGGGGAGCAAACAGGAUUAGAAACCCUGGUAGUCCCA